ACUCAAUAGAUACCCCGGUAGUCCACACCGUAAACGAUGGAUACUUGUUGUUGGAGGUAUUGACCCCUUCAGUGACGCAGUUAAACACGGUAAGUAUCCCGCCUGGGGAGUACGGUCGCAAGAUUAAAACUCAAAGAAAUUGACGGGGGCCCGCACAAGCGGUGGAGUAUGUGGUUUAAUUCGAUGCAACGCGAAGAACCUUACCUACUUUUGACAUGUACUGGAAGACUGGCAGAGAUGUCGUCGCCCGCAAGGGCCGGUACACAGGUGCUGCAUGGCUGUCGUCAGCUCGUGUCGUGAGAUGUUGGGUUAAGUCCCGCAACGAGCGCAACCCUUGCUUUUAGUUGCCAGCAUUUAGUUGGGCACUCUAAAAGGACUGCCGACGUUAAGUCGGAGGAAGGUGGGGAUGACGUCAAGUCCUCAUGGCCCUUAUAAGUAGGGCUACACACGUACUACAAUGGUAACUACAGACGGAUGCUAAGCAGCGAUGUGGAGCAAAUCCUAAAAAAGUUAUCUCAGUUCAGAUUGGAGUCUGCAACUCGAC
rnacentral:rRNA from 1 species